rnacentral:rRNA from 1 species
GGAAUAUUGGGCAAUGGGCGCAAGCCUGACCCAGCGACGUCGCGUGAAGGAAGAAGACCCUCGGGUUGUAAACUUCAGUCAACAGGGAAGAAUAAAUGACGGUACCUGUGGAGGAAGCCACGGCUAACUACGUGCCAGCAGCCGCGGUAAUACGUAGGUGGCGAGCGUUAUCCGGAUUUACUGGGUGUAAAGGGUGUGUAGGCGGGCUUGCAAGUCAGAUGUGAAAACCAUGGGCUUAACUCAUGGCCUGCAUUUGAAACUGUGAGUCUUGAGUGUCGGAGGGGUAAACGGAAUUCCCAGUGUAGCGGUGAAAUGCGUAGAUAUUGGGAGGAACACCGGUAGCGAAGGCGGUUUACUGGACGAUUACUGACGCUGAGACACGAAAGUGUGGGGAGCAAACA